rnacentral:ncRNA from 1 species
UAGACGGAUUCCAAAGUUUCCGAUCUCCAGGCCGGUUAUGAAAAAACCCAGAGCUUCCUCCUCACCAUGCUGGCAGGCGCCAACAUGAUCUAUGGGGCGG